GUUGCCGUGGUGUAGUGGUUAUCACGUCAGUCUUACACACUGAAGGUCUCCAGUUCGAUCCUGGGCGGCAACA
rfam:Zea mays cultivar B73 chromosome 3, whole genome shotgun sequence.